UGCAGUCGAGCGCACCUUCGGGUGAGCGGCGGACGGGUGAGUAACGCGUGGGAAUAUGCCCUUCACUACGGAAUAGCCUCGGGAAACUGAGAGUAAUACCGUAUACGCCCUUCGGGGGAAAGAUUUAUCGGUGAAGGAUUAGCCCGCGUUGGAUUAGGUAGUUGGUGAGGUAACGGCUCACCAAGCCGACGAUCCAUAGCUGGUUUGAGAGGAUGAUCAGCCACACUGGGACUGAGACACGGCCCAGACUCCUACGGGAGGCAGCAGUGGGGAAUCUUAGACAAUGGGGGAAACCCUGAUCUAGCCAUGCCGCGUGAGUGACGAAGGCCCUAGGGUCGUAAAGCUCUUUCAGCUGUGAAGAUAAUGACGGUAGCAGCAGAAGAAACCCCGGCUAACUCCGUGCCAGCAGCCGCGGUAAUACGGAGGGGGUUAGCGUUGUUCGGAAUUACUGGGCGUAAAGCGCGCGUAGGCGGAUUAGUAAGUUAGAGGUGAAAUCCCGGGGCUCAACCCCGGAACUGCCUUUAAUACUGCUAGUCUUGAGUUCGAGAGAGGUGAGUGGAAUUCCGAGUGUAGAGGUGAAAUUCGUAGAUAUUCGGAGGAACACCAGUGGCGAANGCGGCUCACUGGCUCGAUACUGACGCUGANGUGCGAAAGUGUGGGGAGCAAACAGGNUUAGAUACCCUGGUAGUCCACACCGUAAACGAUGAAUGUCAGACGUCGGGUAGCAUGCUAUUCGGUGUCACACCUAACGGAUUAAGCAUUCCGCCNGGGGNNUANGGUCGCAAGAUUAAAACUCAAAGGAAUUGANGGGGCCCGCACAAGCG
rnacentral:rRNA from 1 species